AGAUUGAACGCUGGCGGCAUGCUUUACACAUGCAAGUCGAACGGUAACAGGCCGCAAGGUGCUGACGAGUGGCGAACGGGUGAGUAAUGCAUCGGAACGUGCCCAGUCGUGGGGGAUAACGCAGCGAAAGCUGUGCUAAUACCGCAUACGAUCUAUGGAUGAAAGCGGGGGACCGAAAGGCCUCGCGCGAUUGGAGCGGCCGAUGUCAGAUUAGCUAGUUGGUGGGGUAAAGGCCCACCAAGGCGACGAUCUGUAGCUGGUCUGAGAGGACGACCAGCCACACUGGAACUGAGACACGGUCCAGACUCCGUACGGGAGCAGCAGUGGGGAAUUUUGGACAAGUGGGCGACAA
rnacentral:rRNA from 1 species